UCCCUGCUGGCUCAGUUGGUAAAGAAUCCACCUGCAGUGCAGGAAACCCAGGUUUGAUUCCUGGGUGGGGAA
rnacentral:tRNA from 1 species